ACUACUUUAAGAGCUCCACACUGGCCUCAGACCCCUCUGAUGGAGCAGAGAAGUGGAGAAAAUGGGAUGAACUCCUUCAGCUUCUGUGGAUGCUGAUGCUCAGUUAUGAAGAAGUUGUGACAGGUCAUCUGCACUUCCCCAUCACAAAGCGUUUUGAUAGGAGGCAUGCUCCUAUUUGGAAAUCGAAUGAUCGAGUGAAAUGCUCGGAAGUGCAAGAGGCAGUGGACAUCUUCUGUCACGUG